rnacentral:rRNA from 1 species
GAUGAACGCUGGCGGCAGGCUUAACACAUGCAAGUCGAACGCAUCCUUCGGGAUGAGUGGCAGACGGGUGAGUAACACGUGGGAACGUACCUUUUAGUUCGGAAUAACUCAGGGAAACUUGGGCUAAUACCGGAUACGCCCUUUGGGGGAAAGAUUUAUCGCUAAAAGAUCGGCCCGCGUCUGAUUAGCUAGUUGGUGUGGUAAUGGCGCACCAAGGCGACGAUCAGUAGCUGGUCUGAGAGGAUGAUCAGCCACACUGGGACUGAGACACGGCCCAGACUCCUACGGGAGGCAGCAGUGGGGAAUAUUGGACAAUGGGCGCAAGCCUGAUCCAGCCAUGCCGCGUGAGUGAUGAAGGCCCUAGGGUUGUAAAACUCUUUUGUGCGGGAAGAUAAUGACGGUACCGCAAGAAUAAGCCCCGGCUAACUUCGUGCCAGCCGCCGCAGUAAGAC